AUACGGAGGGUGCAAGCGUUAUUCGGAAUCACUGGGCGUAAAGGACGCGUAGGCGGGUUGGCAAGUCAGAUGUGAAAUCCUACAGCUUAACUGUAGAACUGCAUUUGAAACUGCUAACCUAGAGUAUGGGAGGGGGAGAUGGAAUUAGUGGUGUAGGGGUAAAAUCCGUAGAUAUCACUAGGAAUACCGAAAGCGAAGGCGAUCUCCUAGAACAUAACUGACGCUAAGGCGUGAAAGCGUGGGGAGCAAACAGGAUUAGAAACCCUAGUGUCC
rnacentral:rRNA from 1 species